AAUGGCGGCGCUCGUCUGCAUAGUCGUGUCGGCGAAAGACACCAAUGGAUUUCUUUGAGAGGCAUGCAGAAUCCAGCCACUACUGCUUCCAGUUAAAGAAGUGUUUAUCCGAUGAAUGUGGCUACUGCUCAGUCAACCCAGUCCGAGAUCAGGAUGUUUUUGACCGCCUCAGGUUCCUCUCUGAACCAAAGCCGGACGAAAAUGGUGAACACUACCUACUAUUCAGUGAGUUGUUUGGGAAAGCCCUGACAAGUACAGACCCUCAACCAGACCAUGUGGAACCUAUGAUGAGGAAUUACAGAACCAUGAUAAAGAGAAUCGAGAAAUUUUGAGGAAUGAGAAGCUUUGAGAUGCUGUCCUUUGCGGAGAAUGUAGCAGGCCAAGAUGUGUCUUCAGUCCAAACAAGCGUGACCGACAACAGGAGGAAUUCUUGCGGAACAUUAAGGCAUGCCAUUCGUAUAUCUGUGGAGAUCACUUGGAAGAUGCACCUGAUCUGUAUGUUUGGUGAUGCGUGACCUGCAGCUCUGAGGUGGAAACAGCUUAUUACUCAACCAAGUGUCGGCAUUACCUACCACCAGUAUGCAUCCAAUGUGGAACUCCUGACAGUCUGUUAGAUGACAACGAUGCAUAUGUUGCAGAUUUGUAUACAAAAUAUUCCAUAGUCAGGCCAAUUUGUGUGUCUUGUCGACAUUCUGGAAAAGAGGCAAAAACAUGGGGCACCAAGAAGUUUGUAAAAAAACAAAGUCAAGUGAACUUAUUCAAGCCUUCAAACGUUCCUACUUUGAUUUGGUUUGGUAAUGAGACCAAAGCAAAAGUAUGUGUUUAUGAUGACCAUCAUCAUCAUGUUUAUAAAUGUUAACCUGUUGUGAUUGAAAAUGAAAAAUCAUGGAUUGGAAUAAAGAGCAAAUGCUUUAACUUUUAAAAAUAUUAGUGUUUCGUAUUUGCCAGUUUAAUUUCUAUUUCUACAGAUUUUAAUUGUUUUGUGUUAAGAUUAAAGUUGAUACUAGUCAUUUGUGAUUGCACUUUUCUUGGAAAAGUAUGUUUUAUUGUAAAUUGAUGUGUUUUUAGCUCACCUGAGCGAUAGCUCGGGGUGAGCUAUUGUGAUCACUCAGCAUCCGGCGUCCGGCCGUCCGUCUGUCUGUAAACAAUUUGUAAACAUCUUCUUCUACUAAACCAUUGAGCCAAUUUCAACUAAAUUUCAUGUGGAGCAUCCCUAGGUCAUGGGACAAAAGAUUUGUUAAAAAAAAUUGGAUCACAUAACCAAGAUGGCCGCCAUGACCAUAUAUGGUAAAAACCUUAAAAAAUCUUCUU